rnacentral:rRNA from 1 species
AACGCGAAGAACCUUACCAAGGCUUGACAUAUACCGGAAACGGCCAGAGAUGGUCGCCCCCUUGUGGUCGGUAUACAGGUGGUGCAUGGUUGUCGUCAGCUCGUGUCGUGAGAUGUUGGGUUAAGUCCCGCAACGAGCGCAACCCUCGUUCUGUGUUGCCAGCAUGCCUUUCGGGGUGAUGGGGACUCACAGGAGACUGCCGGGGUCAACUCGGAGGAAGGUGGGGACGACGUCAAAUCAUCAUGCCCCUUAUGUCUUGGGCUGCACACGUGCUACAAUGGCCGGUACAAUGAGCUGCGAUACCGCGAGGUGGAGCGAAUCUCAAAAAGCCGGUCUCAGUUCGGAUUGGGGUCUGCAACUCGACCCCAUGAAGUCGGAGUUGCUAGUAAUCGCAGAUCAGCAUUGCUGCGGUGAAUACGUUCCCGGGCCUUGUACACACCGCUACAGU